rnacentral:rRNA from 1 species
AUUGAACGCUGGCGGCAUGCCUUACACAUGCAAGUCGAACGGCAGCACGGGAGCAAUCCUGGUGGCGAGUGGCGAACGGGUGAGUAAUAUAUCGGAACGUGCCCAGUCGUGGGGAUAACGUAGCGAAAGCUACGCUAAUACCGCAUACGAUCUAUGGAUGAAAGCGGGGGAUCGCAAGACCUCGCGCGAUUGGAGCGGCCGAUAUCAGAUUAGGUAGUUGGUGAGGUAAAGGCUCACCAAGCCGACGAUCUGUAGCUGGUCUGAGAGGACGACCAGCCACACUGGGACUGAGACACGGCCCAGACUCCUACGGGAGGCAGCAGUGGGGAAUUUUUGGGACAAUGGGCGCAAGCCUGAUCCAGCAAUGCCGCGUGCAGGAU